UUGUUAGAAACUGUAGAACAAUAUUAGCGUCAAAUAAGUAAUACAGUAUGCGGACUGUAUAUUUCUUGAUAAUGAUUUCAACUGGUCGAAUACAUUUACGGCUAACCAAUCAAAUCAGUUGCGCGUUAUUUUUUCUGAUUUGUUUUAACAUGAUUUAUUAUUCGGUGUAGAACUGAUCUACUUAAUAUCCCCUCUUUUAGAGGAGAACUAAGUGUAAGGCCUUGUUUGACCAAACCUCAGAUUCUAGAGCCGGAAGUGACGUAAGCUCCGAAUGUGAGAGCACCACGGACCGUCUCGAUGGUUACGAGCAACCACGAAAACCAAUCAGGCCAAAAAACCUUGAUCAGACAGUGUAUCCUAACAGUUCUUUCAAGGGAAUGAAAUUAUCGACUCCAAGCCACGGUUUGAAAAGUGACUACUCUCAGGGCUCCCUCUACAGUCCAAUACACUUAGCCUCGUCCUCAGCACUUCCUGAUGGUCUUGAACCCUCCGAUACAGAGUGCGACAGAGAUUUAACUGACAACAAAGAACUAGUGGUGAAACCCAAACCCAGCUUGCAACGCUCCCCUCAUCAGCAGCAGGGGGUCUUUUGUAGAUGACGGAUUUCCCUCAUCAAAAGAUGGUGUUUUGUAGACGACGGAUUCCCUUAUCAGAAAGUGGUCCCUUGUAGAUCUCGGAUUCCCUCAUCUUUUGUAGAUGGCGGAUCUUGUGUAUAUCUGAUUCAUCAGCUAAAUUCUUGUUAAACCAACAACAACAUCCCUACAUGUUCUGUGAUAUAAUAAACAGUUUGAAACUCUUUACACGAAUUUGAAGCUUAGAGAUUCAUCUCCUCUUUAAUUUAUAAUAUUUAGAAUGUCUUCUGGUCGUAACUUGUCCAAUAUCUGUCGUUGUUUACAGUGGAGUAAUAGCUUUUACUAAUAUCUCUUUACAUUCGAGCUGCUUUCGUAUAGGCCAUUGUCCAUCAAAAAGUUACAUGUUUUCAUUGAUUUAAUUCUAGUAGGUUUAGGAAAAUAUGUAAAUAAAUACUCAUAAAGUUAAUGUUUUUUUUUGGCCAAAACGUCAUUCAGUAAAACCUUUAAUAUCUGCCGCUAGCAGCAAAGCAGAGAAUGAAGUAGGUACGUCAUGAACUUUGUAUAUAGCAGUAGUAACAAUAUUGUGCCAUUAGAUAUCGCAACAGUCAGUUCUAUUGUCGUUAGUAGUACCUCUGAAUCGCACUGUUUGCAUGAUUGUUUAAAAAGCUAAUAAAAAUCAACGGUUUUCACGA